UUUUUUUAGAAAAUGACCGAUCGUUCCACUAGAUAAGACUCUUAUUCCUCGUCUGGGAUCAUGUGGAACGCUUUGAAGCUGCACUGAAACUGCAAUUUAGACCUUCAACCCAGUGAACCACACUGAAGUCCACUAUAAAGAGAAAACCCCUGGAAUGUUUCCUCAAAACCCUUAAUUUCUUUUCGACUGAAGAAAGAAAGACAUGAACAUCUUGGAUGACAUGGGGGAAGUCGGUGAACAGAAAUCACAUUGAGCAGAAAUAUGGAUGGAAAUACUGCAGUUGGAGACAUUCCGUGCUAGUCUGGCACUGCAGAUGAGCCUCCUCCUCCACUGGUGUUAGAUGAAGGACCGGUGUACGUUGUCUGUACCAUCCUUGUCUCCUGAUGAGGGGGCAGCCGCCUAGAAUACCUGAUUGACUGGGAAAGCUAUGGGCCUGAGGAAAGAUGUUGGGUCCCUCAUCACGACAUCCUAGACCCAGUUCUUCUAACAGAAUUCCACGUUCAGCACCCUGAUCGUCAAGCACCCAGAGGUAUAGGCAGCCCACGUUGUCACACUCACCGGUCCUCAGGAGCUGCUUGUGAGGAGGGGGGUACUGUCACAACUCCAUCUAAACCCUCAGCGCCAGACUCAUCAGUUCCUCCCACUCAUUCCCUUUCCUGAGAAUACUAACCAUCUGCACCUGGUGUCACCAAUCAAGAACUGUUAUUUAAACCACUCUCACACUCACACCAUUGUCUUGUUGAAAUUCUUGUUGGUUCUAUCCUCGUGUCUGCCUUCUUCAGUUGUGACAGUAUUAAUAAUUAGUUUUAUAAAAAUUUGCUCUGUUUUGCGAAUAGUUGCACAUAAUUUUACCAUGCAAUUUUUAUCAGUCAAGCCGUAUACAAGCAAAUGGCACUGUAAGUGGUAUAAUGUUCCUCCAGGUCUGCAGUACAGUUACAAGAAGGACACUGAAGUAGAUGUAAUUUAUGCAUGGUGUGCUGAGUGCUCUAAAUUCAUUUGUGAAACUGGUUUUCUUCUACUUUCUCUUUGCAGCACUUAAUUGGUUCUGUGUAUCACAACACACUUCUGGGAGUAUUUCAUGUUGGAUACUAUGUUCAUUGUCUACUUGCACUGGAAAGCUCUAUAAUAUCGGUGUAUUUUCAGAAACAUGCUGUGUGUUGGCCAUGUACUGUAAUACAUAAUACAAGCUAGCUUUUAAAAUGAAUGACACCCCCAGUGCAUUUGUUGCAAGUGCCACAUUUUCAAAAUGGCACAAUUCAAAGUGUCUUUUGAAUGAUUAGUAGAACAUAAUAAAUGAACAAAAACUAAAAUUAAAUAAAAUGAGUAGGCCAUAAGCUCCUUGUAAACAAUGUAGUGUAGUUCCACGGGGAAAAGAAGGGUGGGGCCACACUGUGUGUGCCCCCUCUGAUGCCAGCAGCCAAUGGAAUGGAGAAGCGCCAACUUUCUGAGUCUUCAGCCUGCAAUGGUGUCUCCAUACCAGAGAGACAUAAAGCGGAUUUAAUGUGUUCUGAGUCCCUAGCCCAGAGAGG